UAGAGUUUGAUCCUGGCUCAGAUUGAACGCUGGCGGCAGGCCUAACACAUGCAAGUCGAGCGGAAACGACACUAACAAUCCUUCGGGUGCGUUAAUGGGCGUCGAGCGGCGGACGGGUGAGUAAUGCCUAGGAAAUUGCCUUGAUGUGGGGGAUAACCAUAGGAAACGAUGGCUAAUACCGCAUAAUGCCUACGGGCCAAAGAGGGGGACCUUCGGGCCUCUCGCGUCAAGAUAUGCCUAGGUGGGAUUAGCUAGUUGGUGAGGUAAUGGCUCACCAAGGCGACGAUCCCUAGCUGGUCUGAGAGGAUGAUCAGCCACACUGGAACUGAGACACGGUCCAGACUCCUACGGGAGGCAGCAGUGGGGAAUAUUGCACAAUGGGCGAAAGCCUGAUGCAGCCAUGCCGCGUGUAUGAAGAAGGCCUUCGGGUUGUAAAGUACUUUCAGUUGUGAGGAAGGGGGUAGCGUUAAUAGCGCUAUCUCUUGACGUUAGCAACAGAAGAAGCACCGGCUAACUCCGUGCCAGCAGCCGCGGUAAUACGGAGGGUGCGAGCGUUAAUCGGAAUUACUGGGCGUAAAGCGCAUGCAGGUGGUUCAUUAAGUCAGAUGUGAAAGCCCGGGGCUCAACCUCGGAACUGCAUUUGAAACUGGUGAACUAGAGUACUGUAGAGGGGGGUAGAAUUUCA
rnacentral:rRNA from 1 species